rnacentral:rRNA from 1 species
GAUGAACGCUGGCGGCGUGCCUAAUACAUGCAAGUCGAGCGAACAGACGAGGCGCUUGCUCCUCUGACGUUAGCCGCGGACGGGUGAGUAACACGUGGAUAACCUACCUAUAAGACUGGGAUAACUUCGGGAAACCGGAGCUAAUACCGGAUAAUAUAUUGAACCGCAUGGUUCAAUAGUGAAAGACGGUUUUGCUGUCACUUAUAGAUGGAUCCGCGCCGCAUUAGCUAGUUGGUAAGGUAACGGCUUACCAAGGCAACCAUGCGUAGCCGACCUGAGAGGGUGGUCGGCCACACGGGAACUGAGACACGGUCCAGACGACUAAGGGAGGCAGCAGUAGGGAAUCUGCCGCAAUGGGCGAAAGCAUGACGGAGCAACGCCGCGUGAGUGAUGAAGGUCUUCGGAGCGUAAAACUCUGUUAUUAGGGAAGAACAAAUGUGUAAGUAACUAUGCACGUCUUGACGGUACCUAAUCAGAAAGCCACGGCUAACUACGUG